ACACCACACACCUGCUCGUCUUUACGCAGGUGUUUUCAAUCAGCUGAUGACCGUUGAUUGCUUCCUCCUGCCCCUCUUCUUAUUUAAUCUCCUCCAACCAACAGUUCCGUGAUGUUACUUUGAAGAGAAGCUGCACGAGCCGUGGAACGAAAAAAAAAGACGCAAACAAAGUGUCGCUGCUUAACUACUGAAACUGUUCCGGGAGGAGGGAAGUUAUGGCGGUAAAUGCACCAAUCGCCCUAAAACCUCAAAAAAGAACGAGUAAACUUUAAAAAAAGAAGAGAAAAAAAAAGAAAACUACCGCGACGUGACGUCAGACGCCGAAAAGGUGGCCGCGUGCAUCAGCUCCAGGGUGGCGUGUUCGACCUGGUCCAGAUUGAUGGCCCGUCCAGAAUGGAACAACCUGCUUCCUGCUCACGGAGACCUGGUCGGACCCGCCAUAUACAAAAGCCUGAGGCUGUCAAAAAAAGAUUGAUCUUCAUGAAGAUCGUCAAAUAGUAAGGUGUCAUGAUUUAAUUCUGGGUGGCCGCUGUGUCCCCACUCUUUCUUGGCCGCUGUGCCUACAUCUAUCUGCAUUGUCCAACAUGGCCACGUUCUUUCUAUUCUCCUGCUUUCCGUCUCUCAAAUAGCUCAGGGUUGUACAUGGAGCAUUGGCCACAGGUUGGUUUUGUAUGUUCCUGUCCACUUUAUUGGGUGGUCUGAUCUGGUCCUUGUUGUUUAUAUUUUUGUGGAACUGCUGAGCGAGUGGUUUGAAAGAAUGAGGUGACUGAUGGAGUGUUUUUUUUUUCUUUCUCUUUUCCAUCGUGGCCAUUAAUUUACCGUUAGCCCUAGAACGUUAAAAUAGAUCCUGCUGAUCUACAAACACAGUACCUGGCUUUGGAUGGCAGCCAUGCCAUUGCCUUUGUAUUGCCAUUCGUCCCUUAAUGCAAGUAGGCAAUGAUCGCUAACUGUGCCCGUGCCUUCGUGGCCUACUUGUGUUAUUGUACGUCUGGCCUUGCGCGUAUAGUAAUUUUACAUAGACAAACAUGGGUGCCUUCCGCGUCCAUGCACAGUAAGUGAACUAACCUGUACUUUUCUUCUAGCAUCAAUCAAGAGGAGCACCGACAUCCCUGCAUGUCCAUCUUAAUUAGAUUGCGUUUUAGUUUCGGUAAAAUUUUAAAUGUUAAAUGCAGUUUUUCUUUCUUGCUUGGCCGCUGUGCCAUUACUAUACCUGCUCUCACCUGAAUCUUGAUUCUUCAUGGCCACUGUGUCAUGACUGUACUUGGUCUUGGUGUUCAUGCCAGUCUAUAAUUUCUGAUCUGUUUUUCUACUUAGUAGUGUGUGUGUGUGUGUGUGAUGACUGACUUGGACUGACGUUAAUCUGACCUUUGGACCAAGACUAACACUCCAGUUGACUUUACGGCACCAGGAAGGUGAACAAAAUUUGUGCUGCAAGACCGGCAACAUGCACACCAAUUAGACAACAAGCAAAUUCAAAUUCUUUCAAAAACAGGUAAAAUGUUUACCUUUCAGGUAAGUAUUAAAGGCCUUUGCCACAUGACCUUUAUGGUUAAAUCGUGUCCACUUAAUUUAUAAAGUUAAUUUGCAUCUAAACAUUUACAAUGCCUGACACAAUGGCAUUACAAUAAUAGAAUUUUUUUGUUUUGCGUUACUGAGUGCAAAGGCCUUUAUUUACACACUGACGCAUGCCAAGACCGCCGUCAUGGCAUGUCUGGUCUGUCUGUCCUGUGUGUCUUUCUGUCUGUCUGGUCUCUGUCUCGUAUGUCUGGUCUCCGGCUGUCUCGUGUGUGGUCUCUGUCUUUUUGUCUUGUGUGUCUGGUCUCUGUCUGUCUGUCCUGUGUGUUGGAUUUAGUCACUUUUUUAGUCUCAACUUAAAUGGAUGAUUUUAAAGUUGAUUAGUCUUGAGGUGUCUGAUUUCUGCAGGAAAUUUUGGUACCUCAUUUUGAAAUGGCUUUAAUUUAAAAAUUAAAUUUUGGUCUUGAAUCUCAGUUAAAGUUGCAACUUGGACUGUUGACAAACGUGGAAGCUGAUGAAUCAUGUAGUAAAUGCAUCAAAGUUUACUGUAGCUUGUCUAAAGUUCUUUCAAAGUACUGUAAAAAUGUAGUAAUUGAUUAUGAUGAGGUAUACCAGGUCUUUAUUCUCAACUGGUAAUUGCUUUGAUAAGAUAACUGGUUCCUGAUUUGAUUAUGAAGCUAAACGUUUGAUUUAUAUGCAGAUGUAGUCACAUUAGAUUGUAGGUGUUAUUCAGCCCAUGGAUAAUGUUAUGAUAUACACUAAAUCUGGCAUUUGUUGGCACACUUUUGAUAUCAUUUAAGUCUUAAACUUUACGCACUGCCAUCAGCCUUUGUAGUCGCUAACUGAAAUCGCAUUCAAUAUUAAUGCUGACUUGUCUCACUCUGUCAAGUUUAUUUCCCUCUAAAGGAGUUGAACCUUUUUGUGUUCAUAGUCUUUUUGCGCGUCAUGUUGGGAGGCCUCCCAGCAGGGGAUUUUUAUUUUCCCCUGCAAAACUAUGCGUUACUCGCCUUAGGGAUGCAGGAUUAUCCUGCAUAGUUUCUUUCAAAAAUAAGAUUGUAGGUUGCAGGAUUAGAGCGCGUUUCUUUUCUUUAGGAGGACACAAACCCGGCAGAGAGACAUCUCGGAUUAUUUAAGUGAAAGUUGUGCCAAAUGUUCAAACUUUUUAUCUUUCGAUACGAUGACUUGAACUAAAACUUUUAUUCUGUGGGCUGAAUUCAGACAGAAAUCAGACAUAAUUUGUACUCUCUUGUAGCGGGAGUGAGCAGCUGCAGCUUUUUAAUUUACUUUUCGUUGUUUGAUUUGUUUCUUGGAUUGACUUGGUGUCUGGAGCUUUGUGGUUAACAGUGAUCAUGUAAACGUGUAAACACAAGUGGUCAUUUGCCUCUUAUUUGCGAAGCUGGCAGCUGGUUUGAAAUGAUAGGACUUUAUGGCUUGCCCAAAGUGGGAUUUGUGGUAGAGCAUAGGGUUAACAACUCACCAUACACUAGCUAUUUCAGCGAACAAGGGUCUGUAGUCCGAUAUUACCCAUGACUUUCAAUUUAGGCAGCUUGUAGAGUCAUUAGGAAGAUGCUUAAUCCCAAUGGCUUUGGUUGGUUGCAUGAGAAACUGUUAUCUCUUAGAUGUGUUGGCGAAGUUCCUCCUCUGAUUUUUGUAGACUUGCCCUAAAGUUUCUCUCUGCUUUAACUCUUGUUGAGCUAUGCAUUAAAUGAAUCCUCCAACUUGUCUCCAUAUCAAAUAUUUUUCUCCCUGCAGCCUUCCACCACCCACUGCUGCUGUUGCAUCUGCUAAAGGUAGCCGUAUCCUGAUUCACUGCGUCUUCAUGUGUUGGGUAAGAAGUGUCAUUAGAGUACUAACAAUGUAAACACCUUUUAAAUGCUUGAUCUAAUUUACCCAAAUGGUUCAUCAGUUUAGGACAGAAAAUCAUUGAAUUUGACAUUCUAGGGGUCAGUAACCUGACCUCUAAAUGUUUGGGAAACCAUGCAAAAGAUCGCAAGCUCUCUGCAUGACCCAACAGCAUCGAUGUUUGAGUUAUUUAAUUGCUCAAUUUUUAAAUCAGUCAAGAUUUUAUGAGCUGGGUCUUCUUCACACAACAGAGAACAAGGUAAAUUGAGUCGACUCGUAACAUGGUAAGGCAUUUCGUCUUUCCCCUUCUUCUCUGUGUGUGAGGAAAUCUGGCCACGGAUCCUGACUGAGUGGCAUACCAUGGCUGUGCAGUUUCCAAAAUCAGAUAAGGAUCCAUCUGAUUUUGUGACUCGGCCUGACAUGAUAUGCAUGUAUCUUCCUCCGAAACAAAGGAUUGGAAUGGACAGGUUUGUAGUGUAAAUCACAUCACUUGUAGAUGGUGAAGCAUUUGUUUAAAUUGGAGUCAAGCAUUUAUAGGUGUCUGCUUUGUCAAUACUCUGGUUCCACGUCUUGCUAAACACACGAGAAGCUCUGAAUUGUGAAACUGCUGCCUCUUGCAGAUGUUACAACAGCAAUGGCUGUUGAAAGGCGACAGGGAGAGAAAAUGAGAUCCGAGGACAGGAAAGUGGAAUUGAUUUCAUGCUUAACAAAAUGAGGGUUUCAGCAGAGGACAUUUUGUGGCGAGGCUACAGAAUCAGAAGGAACGUUUGUCUGGGCAACUGGGAGAUUUACAGUUUUUCAUGCAGCUAACCAAGACAUUGGGGUUAGCAUCAUCACAAGUGGCUGGCAAAGACUGCUUGUAACUGUCAGUGUAGGACAGGAGAGGCAGGUAUAGGUUAGGGAGGGCAUCCAUUGGUGAGCUCUGACUGGAUGUGAGGACCUGUCACACUUGACCUGAGAUGAAGGCUGCAGCACAUUCCUGGAUCAGAGGACUCCAUGUUGGACACCACGACCUGGAGAAGUCCCGUCCUGGAUGGCUGCGGUGAUGACCUAGCCCAAGAUGAACUGACCCUUCUACGACGAGGACUUCGCCCAAGAUGAACCGACCUUUUCCACGGGAUGUCUUCAGAUGUUGGACCUUGCCAAACUGUACACAUUCCUCAAUGGCUGCUUCGUCACUCUGCCCAACAGGACAUGGUCACCGAGAUUUUUUUUUAUAUGGACUUUAACCCCACCUGUUCCCACUGACCCACAACCACACAUGACAAAACACUAUGUGAUGCAUCACCACACUAAAAUACAGACACUGCUACUUUCAGCCUGUUUCAGUCUGUAAAAUAUCGCAAGCCCUCGGCAUGACCCAACAGCAUCGAUGUUUGAGUUAUUUAAUUGUUCAAUUUUUAAAUCAGUCAAGAUUUUAUGAGCUGGGUCUUCUUCACACAACAGAGAACAAGGUAAAUUGAGUCGACUCGUAACAUGGUAAGGCAUUUCGUCCUUCCCCUUAUUCUCUGUGUGUGAGGAAAUCUGGCCAUGGAUCCUGACUGAGUGGCAUACCAUGGCUGUGCAGUUUCCAAAAUCAGAUAAGGAUCCAUCUGAUUCUGUGACUCGGCCUGUCAUGAUAUGCAUGCAUCUUCCUCCGAAUCAAAGGAUUGGAGUGGACAGGUUUGUAGUGUAAAUCACAUCACUUGUAGAUGGUGAUGGUGUACAGACACUGGUACUUUCAGCCUGUAAUGUUAGACAUUGAAAACUUGUAUUUAUUGCCUUCUUUAUAUGAAGUAAAACUUUUGUUCUUAA